GAACCCAGGACGCGGAGGUUGCGGUGAGCCGAGAUUGCGCCGUUGCACUCCAGCCUGGGUAACAAGAGUGAAACUCCGUCUCAAAAAAAAAAAAAAAAAACUUAAAUUCCUUUACUCAAUCAGCACUUGUGGAUUUCCCAGUGUAUGUCAAGCAUCGUGCCAGGUACUGAGAGUACUAUAGUGACAGGCACAGAUUCUACCCUUAAAGGGUUUAGAGCCUGAUAGAGGAAAGCAGAUAUAUCAACAAGUAUGACAGUAAUUUGACACAUGCCCUAGUAGUUGAAUGUGUAUGAUUCUAUAGAUGUAUAGAUGACAGAAAACUGUGUGAGAGGGCAGAAAUCUGGUCUGUUAAGAUUGUGAAGAACCAAUGGACCAACAAAUGAGGGAACGAUGGAAGGAAGAGUGGAUGGAAGUUGCAGGAGAUGGGGAGAUGGGAUGUCUCCUCAAGUCCCUGCCAGGGCCGAAUGGUGGCUGCUCCCAUUAAAGACACAUUUAUGGACAGGACAAAGAACAGCAGUUUGACUUAGGAGAAGAAAACAAAUUCGUUUAUCCUUUUUUUCAACAUUUACAUUAUUUAUUUAAUUUCGUUUUUAAGAUGUGAUUUCUGAUCCAAUAAAAGGGGACAAAGUUACAAAAAUUCAACCUUUGUUUACAGUAAGUUACUUGCUUUCUCAUACUUAAGACCGGAAGAAUUUCAGAACUCCUUUGUCUGUGUUAAUCUGUACUGGAAGUGUCCCUCUGGUAAUAGCAGGUACCAAGUCUCUAUGCAGAAACUUUAGGACUGAAUGGUUGGAGCUCCUUAAUAGGCUUUAUAUUUCGUUGCAGAAUGUAACACUAUCUGACCUCGUAUUAUGUAUUUAUUCAUUUGGUCGUUGACUACCCUCCCCUAACUAGAAUGUAAGCUUUGUGAAAGCAGGGAGGCUUUUUUUUUUUUUUUUAACUUAUUCAUUCCUUUAUGCCCCGUACCAAAGUGAGUACUAGGAUUUGGUAAAUAUCAGUGAAUAAAUAACUUACUGAGAUAGGGUCUCCUGAGGAUCCAUUUUGAUAGGCUAAUGGAGGAAUGAAGAACACAACAGUAAUAAACACCUGAGCAGAAAAGGAAAAAUCCACGUCAAGGAGUUAACGUGGACUUGGAAAGUGUCAAUGAAAUAUUUUAUCCCGAAAUUGAUACUGAUUGCACCUUGGAAUGCAGUAGAAUUUACUCACUCAGACCCCCUCAAACCCUGAAUAUGGUGCUUAGUUCAGAAUGAAUGAAUACCAGGCAUUCUCAACAACCUAAAGAAGCAAUUGCUCAUAGCCAGUGUGGUAGCUGUGACUGGAUAGAAAGUUUCCAUGGGCAAUAAGAUAAAUGGGUCACCCUCCUGGAUACCUUCUUUCUUAAUCUGAUAAAUGAGUGAGAUUAAUAUGAAUAUUGAAAGAAAUACUAUCAGUAGUCCAUGGAAGAGUAG